rnacentral:rRNA from 1 species
GAUGAACGCUGGCGGCGUGCCUAAUACAUGCAAGUCGAGCGAACGGACGAGAAGCUUGCUUUUCUGAUGUUAGCGGCGGACGGGUGAGUAACACGUGGAUAACCUACCUAUAAGACUGGGAUAACUUCGGGAAACCGGAGCUAAUACCGGAUAAUAUUUUGAACCGCAUGGUUCAAAAGUGAAAGACGGUCUUGCUGUCACUUAUAGAUGGAUCCGCGCUGCAUUAGCUAGUUGGUAAGGUAACGGCUUACCAAGGCAACGAUGCAUAGCCGACGUGAGAGGGUGAUCGGCCACACUGGAACUGAGACACGGUCCAGACUCCUAUGGGAGGCAGCAGUAGGGAAUCUUCCGCAAUGGGCGAAAGCCUGACGGAGCAACGCCGCGUGAGUGAUGAAGGUCUUCGGAUCGUAAAACUCUGUUAUUAGGGAAGAACAUAUGUGUAAGUAACUGUGCACAUCUUGACGGUACCUAAUCAGAAAGCCACGGCUAACUACGUG